rnacentral:rRNA from 1 species
CAGCCCUUGACAUCCCGGUCGCGGUUUCCAGAGAUGGAUUCCUUCAGUUCGGCUGGACCGGUGACAGGUGCUGCAUGGCUGUCGUCAGCUCGUGUCGUGAGAUGUUGGGUUAAGUCCCGCAACGAGCGCAACCCUCGCCCUUAGUUGCCAGCAUUCAGUUGGGCACUCUAAGGGGACUGCCGGUGAUAAGCCGAGAGGAAGGUGGGGAUGACGUCAAGUCCUCAUGGCCCUUACGGGCUGGGCUACACACGUGCUACAAUGGUGGUGACAGUGGGCAGCGAGACCGCGAGGUCGAGCUAAUCUCCAAAAGCCAUCUCAGUUCGGAUUGCACUCUGCAACUCGAGUGCAUGAAGUUGGAAUCGCUAGUAAUCGCGGAUCAGCAUGCCGCGGUGAAUACGUUCCC